rnacentral:rRNA from 1 species
GGGUCAGUAGGUUGGUCGUGCCACCGGUACGUACUGGUCUCACUGAUUCCUCCUUCCUGAAGAACCGUAAUGCCAUUAAUUUGGUGUUGCGGGGAAACAGGACUGUUACUUUGAAAAAAUUAUAGUGUUUAAAGCAAGCUAACGCUUGAAUACAUUAGCAUGGAAUAAUGAAAUAGGACGAUCGAUCCUAUUUUGUUGGUUUCUAGGAUUGACGUA